UUUGCAAGCCUUUAGAAUAGUUAUAUUCCAUAGAGGCAGAUAGUGUAUCCGAAAUUGUUCUAAUUGUUCUAUGACAGCUUACUCUGUCUAUAAAUACAAACAAAAUUAGUUUACUGGCAAUCUUGUUGGGUUUAUUGACACUUAAAUAUGUCAAAAAAGCAAAAAAUAACAAAAUUUUUAAUAUAGGUAUUCAUUUCCAAAUUUUGCUCUGAAGAUAAUGUAGUUCCAGUAAGAAGUAUCGGUAAAGAAGUUUUCUUUCAUAUAGCCAUGUUCCUAGUGUCAUCGCUUUUGGAAAUUGGAAUGGUGUUAUCCAUAGGAGUUGUUGAUGUUGGGCUGAAAUGUUUCUCUUACUUAGCUAAUUCAGUUAGCAAUAGAUUACUUCGAGUAUGAGAGGUCACAACUCACGCCAAAGGAAAGCAUGAGGAUUGACUACAUAAAUGAAUAAUAAUGUAUAAGAGGGAUAAUAAACAUUGUAAAUCAA